rnacentral:rRNA from 1 species
AUGCAGUCAGGGGGCCCAGCAAUGGGCAACCGGCGAACGGGUGCGUAACACCCCCUUNAACCUACCGAACCGGUGGGGGAUAGCCGGCCUAACGGCCNAUUUAAUACCGCAUACGCUUUCAGUGAGGCAUUUCAUUGAAAGGAAACCUACGGGACAGAUCGAGGGGCUCGCGGCCUAUCAGCUAGUUGGCGAGGUAACGGCUCACCAAGGCANCGACGGGUAGCUGGUCUGAGAGGAUGGCCAGCCACAUUGGGACUGAGAUACGGCCCAGACUCCUACGGGAGGCAGCAGUGGGGAAUCUUGCGCAAUGGCCUAACGGCUGACGCAGCGACGCCGCGUGUGGGAUGAAGCUCCUCGGAGUGUAAACCACUGUUGCCCGGGACGAACAGCUCGAUUAGUCGAGCCUGACGGUACCGGGUGAGGAAGCACCGGCUAACUCCGUGCCAGCAGCCGCGNUAAUACGGGGGGUGCGAGCGUUGUCCGGAAUCACUGGNGCGUAAAGGGCGCGUUAUGUGGUUUGAUAAGGGUGUGGUGAAAGUCCNGGGCUCAACUCCCNGUAUCUGCCGGUGCCCGANCUGUUCAAACUUCGAGGACUGUUAUAGGCUA